rnacentral:rRNA from 1 species
GACGUAGGUGGCGAACGUUAUCCGGAAUUAUUGGGCGUAAAGGGUGCGUAGAUGGCCUGAUAAGUUAGCAGUGGUAAAUCGAGGCUCAACCUCGUGGAAACUGAUAAUACUGUCUGGCUCGAGUACAGAAGAGGUUAACGGAAUUCCACGUGUAGCGGUGAAAUGCGUAGAGAUGUGGAGGAACACCAGUGGCGAAGGCGACUCUUUGGCCUGUAACUGACACUGAGGCGCGAAAGCGUGGGGAGCAAACAGG